rnacentral:rRNA from 1 species
GUGCCAGCAGCCGCGGUAAUACGUAGGGGGCAAGCGUUGUCCGGAUUUACUGGGCGUAAAGAGCGCGUAGGCGGAACGUUAAGCGGGGCCGGAAAGCCCCCGGCUCAACCGGGGAAGGGGCCGCGAACUGGCGUUCUUGAGGGGGAGAGAGGAGAGCGGAAUUCCUGGUGUAGCGGUGAAAUGCGUAGAGAUCAGGAGGAACACCCAUGGCGAAGGCAGCUCUCUGGCUUCACCCUGACGCUGAGGCGCGAAAGCGUGGGGAGCGAACGGGAUUAGAAACCCGCGUAGUCC